CCUACGGGAGGCAGCAGUGAGGAAUAUUGGUCAAUGGCCGCAGGGCUGAACCAGCCAAGUAGCGUGAGGGAUGACGGCCCUAUGGAUUGUAAACCUCUUUUGUCAGGGAGCAAAGUGCGCCACGUGUGGCGCUUUGCGAGUACCUGAAGAAAAAGCAUCGGCUAACUCCGUGCCAGCAGCCGCGGUAAUACGGAGGAUGCGAGCGGUAUCCGGAUUUAUUGGGUUUAAAGGGUGCGCAGGCGGAAUGUCAAGUCAGUGGUAAAAUUUCGGGGCUAAACCCCGUCGUGCCUUUGAAACUGGCGUUCUUGAGUGCGCGAGAAGUAUGCGGAAUGCGUGGUGUAGCGGUGAAAUGCAUAGAUAUCACGAAGAACUCCGAUUGCGAAGGCAGCAUACCGGCGCUCAACUGACGCUCAUGCACGAAAGCGUGGGUAUCGAACAGGAUUAGAUACCCGGGUAGUC
rnacentral:rRNA from 1 species